AUUGAAAGCUGGCGGCAGGCCUAACACAUGCAAGUCGAGCGGAGCGGCGGACGGGUGAGUAAUGCCUAGGAAUCUGCCUGGUAGUGGGGGAUAACGUCCGGAAACGGGCGAUAAUACCGCAUCCUAUCAGAUGAGCCUAGGUCGGAUUAGCUAGUUGGUGGGGUAACGGCCUACCAAGGCGACGAUCCGUAACUGGUCUGAGAGGAUGAUCAGUCACACUGUAACUGAGACACGGUCCAGACUCCCACGUGAGGCAGCAGUGGGGAAUAGUGGACAAUGGGCGAAAGCCUGAUCCAGCCAUGCCGCGUGUGUGAAGAAGGUCUUCGGAUUGUAAAGCACUUUCAGCGGGGAGGCGUUACCCGCAGAAGAAGCACCGGCUAACUCCGUGCCAGCAGCCGCGGUAAUUC
rnacentral:rRNA from 1 species